rnacentral:rRNA from 1 species
GCAAGUCGAACGAGAACGGAAUCUAGCUUGCUAGAUUUGUCAGCUAAGUGGCGCACGGGUGAGUAAUAUAUAGGUAACGUGCCUCUUACAAAAGAAUAACAGUUGGAAACGGCUGCUAAUGCUUUAUAUGCCUCUAUCACAUAAGUGAGCGAGGGAAAGUUUUUUCGGUAAGAGAUCGGCCUGUACAGUAUCAGUUAGUUGGUGAGGUAAUGGCUCACCAAGACAAUGACGCUUAACUGGUUUGAGAGGAUGAUC